AAUCGGAAUGACAGAGAUACCAUUUCCCAUACCCUCAGAGAACAGCAUAUCAAUUACCUUCUGCUUGUCAUGUUCUCUUCCAUAAAUACUCGACUCAUCCACCAUGUGGCCGCUUGGUGGUGGGCUCAAAGCUCUGAAGACCCGUCGCUCUCCAUCUUCCUCUCUUAAACGGAGGCGUUUCCGAUCCUCCGAGAUCUCAUCGAAUCUCUUCUUGAUCUCCUUGAUUCUAUCCCCCAUGCCAUCGGGAAUUGAAACAUUAACUAUGGUGGAAAGAGAAGUACUUACCUCUUCCUCAUCGUCCCCUGCUUCCACUCGCUUCCUCUUGCGGGAAGCUCCGCCUUCCGCUCGGGCUCGCAGUACCUCGUACUGGUACGCGUCCAGCACAUCUUCCGCGUCAUAAGCCACUUCUCUGAGCUCUUUCAGCCAGAGCUUGACGGCUUCAUCUCGUAUCUCCCUCUCCUCCGCGUCAUGGAGCACUGUCUGGAUCCUUUUCAAUGUUCUCUCCAGCUCCUCCAGAUCUUCCAAGACACUGCUGCAUGGAUCUGAUGACGAAGACGGCAAGGCUGCCCAUCUAUGAACAGAGCCCAAAACUUGGCUGAUUUUUGAUAGGAUGGAAGAGAGGAAAGCGCUCGCCAUUGCACAACCUCAGUUUCCUCUUUGCUCUGAUCAGACACGGCAAGCAAGCAAAGAGAGCUUUGGCUCUCCUUCUGAUCUCCUCCUUCACUUGCAAUGAUUCCAUCCACUCGUGUCGGCAGCCCUGAUAGACAACGUUGCUGAAGCCAAGCAAGAAAGUCUUGUCAAAAACUCACGCAGCCGCAAUAAAACAACAUAAUGAGGGCAGAUUCCACGCGCUUUCGCGCGAGAAAAAUCUUCAAACGAUGGGAAGAAAGCUUCCAAAAAGCUUCUUUCAAUAAAUCUGGACCCUCUCUAAAAUUCAAAAAAUAAAAUCAUAAAAAAAUCGACUCUUCACAUCGAAGUCUGUUUCUCUAUGCACAACAAAGAAAAAAAAAAUGAUUAGUAUGCAAAAAAAAAGGCCACGAGUUAGAUUUCAUUUCUCCAUGUACCAAAAAUAUCAGGAAUUCGUUGCUCCACGCACAAAAAAGAAAAACACCACGAGUAAAUUAGCGCACACGAAAAACCCCACGUUCUCCGCGCACAAAAAAAAAUAAAGGAGUACUCUUCAAAAAAGGACUCCUCCAAAACGAAAAAUAAAAAUAAAAACAAAAGGGUUCAAAACGGGACUCUUCAAAAUGGAAAUCCGUUUGUAAUAUUUUCGCUUCAAAAGGAAAUAUGUUUAUAAUAUUUCUCCACGCGCAAAAUAGAAAUGCACUCAAAAGGACUCUUCAAAAACGAAAAUUUCGCAUAAAGUAAAUUAGCAUACAAGAACCAAAAAAAAAACAUGCAGAACGUAAGCCAAAAAAAAUUUCGUUUCUUAUUUCUUAAUUUUGGAAACUCAAAGAAAGGUUAAAUUUUCACCACUUAUCUAUAAAAAAACCAUAAGCUAGAUUUUUAGUUAGAGUCUUCAAAAAGAAAAAAGAAAUCAUUCAAAAGUAUAAAAAAAAUAAGGUAUUCAUGUGUCAUGACGAGGGGUUAUGAUCCUGUAUUUUAAAUUUCAAUCCAUCAUUAUGCUAGACUUGUGGAGAAAAGUUUUGGGCUGGAUAUCAUAUUCUACCUCCUUAAAAAAAGUUUCGUCUUCGAAACUUGGUACAUCUUUAUUUUUUUACAAUUAGGGAUAUCUAAUCUUCCUAUCAUGUUUACCAUACUCUUAGACUAGUUUUCAUCAAUCCUAACUUCUUCGUUUAAAAUGACACAAUUUUAAACAAGGCAUCGGUGAGUAUAACUUUUCUUAAAUGAAGAGAUAAUAUAUAGUAACUUAUUCAAUUUUAUAAAUAUAUAGUUGAACUUAAAAGAUAUAAAGGAAUGAGAAAAAUUCAUAAUUAAAAAGUAUAUGAACAUCUAUGAGUUGACUAGAAUGAUAUAUGUAACAACUUCAUCACUUGUACUGACAUUCUGCUCAAUCAAAGCAAACACCCGUGCAUUCUCAUUUUGAUUCUGAUUAGUGGGUUUGGUGGACUUAGAGUCAUUCUUUUUAUUAAAAUAAUUUUGUGCUAAAUAUCCCUUCUUGCUGCACUCGAAGCACAUUCUGAGUUUCUUAAAACAAAGCCCACUAUGAUUUCUAUCAUAAUACUGAUAAAUCUCUACUCCUUUCUUCUUAUUAGAGUGGUUCUCUAAGUUUUCAUGUUGGUCACUCCGAGUUUCUAUUGGUCUAGUCCUCUUCCUAUCCUUUUUUUUUGUUUCGAUCUUUUAAUAUUUGAUUCAACUUUCAAAUCUCGUUCCAAUACAUCAUUGUAUUCAUUAAACAUGUGAGAGGACAGACGAGACUAAAUUUUAUAUAUCCUAGACCAUGCUCAAAUCUAUUUACUUUGCUUCUUUCAGACUCCAUGAGCUAAGGGCAAUAAUGGUCUAACUUAUUGAAUUUGUUUGCAUAUCAUGUCAUCUUUUUGCCUCAAAGCCAAGAAUUUAUUCUCUUUUACUAAUCUAAUUGACUCAGAAAAAUAUUGAUUAUAAAAUAUUUUCUUGAACUGCUCUCAUGUCAGCUGGUUAUCAACAACCUCAUAUGCAGUUUUUAUUGUAGUCCAUCAAAAUUCGAUAUUUUCUUUUAGCAUAAGAAUGGCUAGCCUAACCUCCAUAUCCUUAAGAUAUUGUAAUGCAUCAAAUAUCUUUUCUAUUUUUAAAAUUUAGAUCUCCGCGACCAGAUGGUUAGGUCUAUCCUCAAAUAGUAGUGUUAAGCCUUCUAAACCUCUCACAAUAUGACUUUAAAGGUGAUGUAGGUCGAGGAGCGAUUUGUGUUUGCUGUUGUCACUGAAUAAACUGAACCAUCACUUGAUAUACUUCAGCAAUGUCUGCCUGAAUGGCUAGUGUAUUAAAAGUCUGCUCAAUCGGUUGGUUGGCAUCUUCUCUCAUAAUCCUUCUUGCUCUUCUCCUCCUUGCGGCAUGGUUCACUAAGACUUUAUCUCCUUUAUUGUUCAUCAUCAUCUAUCAAAACUACUACCAUUAAUCAGCUCCCUUAAAUAAGCAAUAGAAAUGCUAAGACGAGCAAUAGUUUCCUCCCCUCCACCUUUUUCUUGAGAGAAUUUUGAAGUGGGCUAAUUUCUGUAAGAUCACAUGAUCUCCAGUAAUAGACUCGAUGAUGACCUUUGUUAGCCUCGGAACAUCAAAAUCAUCGGAUACACGAACCCAACCAGUCAGAUCAAAAUAUUCUUUGACCUUGGAGUCAUUGUAGACCAGCUGAGCGAUGGUGGUUUUUCCCAGUCCUCCCUUGCCGACAAUCGAAAUGACAGAGAUACCAUUUCCCAUACCCUCAGAGGACCGCAUAUCAAUUACCUUCUGCUUGUCAUGUUCCCUUCCAUAAAUACUCGACUCAUCCACCGCUUGGUGGUGGGCUCAAAGCUCUGAAGAACCGUCGCUCUCCAUCUUCCUCUCUUAAACGGAGGCGUUUCCGAUCCUCCGAGAUCUCAUCGAACCUCUUCCUGAUCUCCCUGAUUCUAUCCCCCAUGCCAUUGGGAAUUGAAACAUUAACUAUGGUGGAAAGAGAACUACUUACCUCUUCCUCAUCGUCCCCUGCUUCCACUCGCUUCCUCUUGCGGGAAGCUCCGCCUUCCGCUUGGGCUCGCAGUACCUCGUACAUCUUCCGCGUCAUAAGCCACUUCUUUGAGCUCCUUCAGCCAGAGCUCGACGGCUUCUUCUCGUAUCUCCCUCUCCUCCGCGUCAUGGAGCACUGCCUGGAUCCUUUUCAAUGUUCUCUCCAGCUCCUCCAGAUCUUCCAAGACACUGCUGCGUGGAUCUGAUGAUGAACAGAACCCAAAACUUGGCUGGUUUUUGCUAGGAUGGAAGAGAGGAAAGCGCUCGCCAUUGCACAACCUCAGUUUCCUCUUGGACAAGCAAGGAAAGAGGGCUUUAGCUUUUCUUCUCAUCUCUAAGCGGCGAGGAAAGCUAACGACCGCCUUUUUUUUUCUUUUUC
rnacentral:lncRNA from 1 species